AAGCGUUGUUCGGAAUUAUUGGGCGUAAAGGGUGCGUAGGCGGUCUGACAAGUCUGAUGUGAAAUCUAUGGGCUCAACCCGUAGUCUGCAUCGGAAACUGUCGGGCUUGAGUAUGGGAGAGGUGAGUGGAAUUUCCGGUGUAGCGGUGAAAUGCGUAGAUAUCGGAAGGAACACCGGUGGCGAAAGCGGCUCACUGGACCAUUACUGACGCUGAGGCACGAAAGCUAGGGGAGCAAACAGG
rnacentral:rRNA from 1 species